rnacentral:rRNA from 1 species
AGUGAACGCUGGCGGUAGGCCUAACACAUGCAAGUCGAACGGCAGCACAGUAAGAGCUUGCUCUUACGGGUGGCGAGUGGCGGACGGGUGAGGAACACAUCGGAAUCUACUUUUUCGUGGGGGAUAACGUAGGGAAACUUACGCUAAUACCGCAUACGACCUACGGGUGAAAGCAGGGGAUCUUCGGACCUUGCGCGAUUGAAUGAGCCGAUGUCGGAUUAGCUAGUUGGCGGGGUAAAGGCCCACCAAGGCGACGAUCCGUAGCUGGUCUGAGAGGAUGAUCAGCCACACUGGAACUGAGACACGGUCCAGACUCCUACGGGAGGCAGCAGUGGGGAAUAUUGGGCAAUGGGCGCAAGCCUGAUCCAGCCAUACCGCGUGGGUGAAGAAGGUCUUCGGGUUGUAAAGCCCUUUUGUUGGGAAAGAAAAGCAGCAGGUUAAUACCCCGCUGUUCUGACGGUACCCAAAGAAUAAGCACCGGCUAACUUCGUG